UAACAAGGAUUCCCCUAGUAACUGCGAGUGAAGCGGGAAAAGCUCAAAUUUAAAAUCUGGCGGCUUUGCCGUCCGAGUUGUAAUCUGGAGAAGUGCUUUCUGUGCCGGACCGUGUACAAGUCUCUUGGAACAGAGCGUCAUAGAGGGUGAGAAUCCCGUCUUUGACACGGACUGCCGGUGCUAUGUGAUGCGCUCUCGAAGAGUCGAGUUGUUUGGGAAUGCAGCUCAAAAUGGGUGGUGAAUUCCAUCUAAAGCUAAAUAUUGGCGAGAGACCGAUAGCGAACAAGUACCGUGAGGGAAAGAUGAAAAGCACUUUGGAAAGAGAGUUAAACAGUACGUGAAAUUGUUGAAAGGGAAACGCUUGAAGUCAGUCGCGUCGUCCGGAACUCAGCCUUGCUUUUGCUUGGUGUAUUUUCCGGUUGACGGGCCAACAUCGAUUUUGGCUGGCGGAUAAAGGCAGUUGGAAUGUGGCACCCUCGGGUGUGUUAUAGCCUCCUGUUGAACACGCUGGCCGGGAUCGAGGACCGCAGCGCGCCUUUUGGCCGGGGCUUUGCCCACGUAACGCGCUUAGGAUGUUGGCGUAAUGGCUUUAAACGACCCGUCUUGAAACACGGACCAAGGAGUCUAACAUGCCCGCGAGUGUUAGGGUGGAAAACCCUUCCGCGUAAUGAAAGUGAAAGUUGGGACCUCUGUCAUGGAGGGCACCGACGCCCGGCCUUGAACUUCUGUGACGGUGCUGCGGUGGAGCGUGCAUGUUGGGACCCGAAAGAUGGUGAACUAUGCCUGAAUAGGGUGAAGCCAGAGGAAACUCUGGUGGAGGCUCGUAGCGAUUCUGACGUGCAAAUCGAUCGUCAAAUUUGGG
rnacentral:rRNA from 1 species